UGCGUACUUGCAGAAAAACCUCUUGCCCUUUUUUUUUAUUUUUGGAGUGAUGCUAGCUUCUAAAAAUAAUGUGAAUAAAAUUGACUUAAAUUCUGGACUCUGCUUGUCUCCUUCAGAAGGAGAAGGCCUGCAUUAUUUCAGAGUUACUUUAACUCUGCUAAUAUGCAUUAGCCACACUAAUGCUGUGAGAGACUUAAUUUCAAAAUAGCAGAAGAAAUACCUAGAAUGUCUUUUAUGUCCUGUGAAAGGAAAGCUAUUCCCUUUUUCGAUCAUAUUGACAGGAAGGCAAAAGUUAAUGAGAGAAACUCCUUUCUGGCUUUUUUUUUCCCAAGUGGACAGGAACAAGCCAAAGAUGCGUGAUAUUGUUUCUUGAUCAAUAACAAUGAAUUAAUCUUAAAAACUCGUAUAAUCUGUUCCCUCCAUGGGAUACAAAGAACACAUAGCCGUGUCCUUGCUCUAUAUUAUGCUGCAGUUUGGCGGUGUCUGAAUAAAUAACAUGCAUGGACUUAGAUCCUCUUUGAUUUCAUCCAUGUGAGUUAUGGCUUUUUGUUUAACGCUUGUCAAAUGUUUCUUUUACAGGUAUGAUUUGUUUCCAAAAACACUGAUGAGUGCUACAACUGGCCUGCACUUGAUCUUAGCUUUUGAUAGGGCUCAGUAAUGCUUUGAUGGAAACAAACUGUCAUUGAACCAAAGAUGAAUGGGCUGCUUGAAGAGAGCUCUAAUUUGCAUGAGAUCUGUGCAAGAACCGGCAACGCUGACAAAAAGUGACUUCCCAACUCCUGAAUCAGAUGUUUUGUGUGACAGCAGCAAGUGCAGCGUAGGCCUUAUGUUGGAUGCCUAGUACUCCCAUUCUAGGGGUGAUACAAAAUGCCUGGCAGGGAGUCCUUAUCUCCUCUGUUCUGUAGAGGCAGUAACUACCUGUGUCUUUAGGAGCUCUCUUCUCUCCCUGGAGCCUGGAAGAGGUCAGGACUCAUGUUAAAGGACAUGAGAGAUGGGGAUGUGUAAGGAAUGCCAUAAAUCUUGGUGGUUUAAGGAUUUUAUUAUAUUCUUUACUGCAGUAGGUACCUCUUCAGUGGUUGGGCUAAAAGGAUAACUGAGGCAACUGAGAUCCCUCUGCUCUCAUACUUCCUUUGAAAGCUGUUACAAGUGACUAUUCCUACUUUUUGUUUGUUAGUCUGGUAGCUUCCAAUUGCAUUGUUAAUAUGAGCAAAUCUCUCACAGUUUUAAUAGGAGAUGUUCAUAUUUAAUGUCUGCAGUGUGAGCUGUUUAUACAUAAGGAUGUCAUCACCAUGAAAAUUAAAAGACAUGAGUAGUUCCAUGUUUCUCCUUAUUUUAAUUACCUUUUAAUUUACUUGUAUUUAAAUUAAGGUUUCUCCUUAAAACUUAAAAAAAGGCAGUUCUCCUUAAACUUGAAAAAAAGCAGUCUUAUUAAGAUGAAAUACUUUGGCUUUCAUGUUAAUUUGUUAUCAUACGUGAAACAAAGAGUUUGCAAUGUG